GUGUCAGCCGCCGCGGUAAUACAGAGGGUGCAAGCGUUAAUCGGAAUUACUGGGCGUAAAGCGCGCGUAGGUGGUUCGAUAAGUUGGAUGUGAAAGCCCUGGGCUCAACCUGGGAACUGCAUCCAAAACUGUCUGGCUAGAGUACGGUAGAGGGUGGUGGAAUUCCCUGUGUAGCGGUGAAAUGCGUAGAUAUAGGAAGGAACACCAGUGGCGAAGGCGACCACCUGGACUGAUACUGACACUGAGGUGCGAAAGCGUGGGGAGCAAACAGGAUUAGAAACCCCUGUAGUCC
rnacentral:rRNA from 1 species